rnacentral:pre_miRNA from 1 species
CUGUGCCUGGCUCCCUGCAUGCCACUCGUAUCGACGCCAAUCAUACCCACGGAUUGGCAACUGCGGCUGGCGUGUGAGGAGCCAAGCAUAC